rnacentral:rRNA from 1 species
GAUGAACGCUGGCGGCGUGCCUAAUACAUGCAAGUCGAGCGAACAGACGAGGAGCUUGCUCCUCUGACGUUAGCGGCGGACGGGUGAGUAACACGUGGAUAACCUACCUAUAAGACUGAGAUAAAUUCGGGAAACCGGAGCUAAUACCGGAUAAUAUAUAGAACCGCAUGUUUCAAUAGUGAAAGACGGUUUUGAUGUCACUUAUCGCUGGAUCCGCGCCGCAUUAGCUAGUUGGUAAGGUCACGGCUUACCAAGGCAACGAUGCGUAGCCGACCUGAGAGAGUGAUCGGCCACACGGGAACGGAGACACGGUCCAGACUCCUACGGGAGGCAGCAGUAGGGAACCUGCGGCAAUGGUCGAAAGUCUUACGCAGCAACGCCGCGUGAGUGAUAAAGGUGUUGGGAUCGUAAAACUGUGUUACUGGGGAAGAACAAAUUUGUGCGUAAAUAUGCCCGUAUUGACGGUACCUAAUCAGAAAGCCACGGCUAACUACGUG